GCUGAUGGCCAUAUCAUGCUGUAUGCACCAAUUCUUGUCCAUCCAACAAAGUUAAGCAAUGUUGAGCCUAGUUAGUACUUGGAUGGAUGACUACUUGGGAAACCUAAUUGUUGCAUGGA
rnacentral:rRNA from 1 species